ensembl:lncRNA
GUGUGUGUGUGUGGGGGCGGGCUGAGUGCAAGUUUAGCCGAAAGUGUUUUCUACUUGAUAUUUAAAUGCUGCCCUGUGAAGAACUAACAGCCACAUUAAAACAAAUGAGCACCUGCAGUCGCGGCCACAGAUGUAUGUGGGUGUUUUUUCCUUUAAAAGUUUCCACAAAAAAAAUAAAGAAAUUUUCAUAGAUUAUUUUGACAAAGACCACUUUCAGACAGGAUGGCUGGUGUCACCCAGAUGCAGAUACAUGUGGUAUAAUUAAACUCUACAUAAUAAACAUCCACAGCUGAAACUAGAAUACGUCAGUAACUAAUGACAGGGUUAAUAAUUUGAUUCUAAUUCUUUCAUGAGGAAAAAGUAGAGGUUAAAAAAAAAAAAAAAAAAGGUUAAAGUUGCACAGCUACAUUAUGAAAAAUGUUUCAUAGCUCAAUUUUGCAUUUGAUCUCAGAAGCACGGAGAUAGACCCAAAAGCAACGAUCCAACGUACACGGACUCCUCUCAGCUCAAACGACAUCGACCCACAGCUUCAAAACACGCCAAAUGUGGCCGUGCGAUGUGAAGCAGCGGUUUUUGCUGGAUUUGCAGGUUUUUGUAACGACACCGUGGCCGAUGCCUUUCAAGGCCCGUCUCCUCCACUUGAGCUUAGCCGCUCUCAUCUCUCUGUCUCUGCUUGUCCGUUCCAGCGGGUUUGCUUUGGAUGCUCGAGUGCUGCUUUGCGUUGCUUUCCAAAUGUCUGCUGCCUCCUUGCUGCCGUUGGCCUCUUGUGGACAACAAUGCAUUUUAGUGGGGAAGCCCUAACCCCUCACCCUCCAGGGUUACAGCGGGAUCAAACUAAUGGACAGGACUGACACGCGUUCGGCGUGUAAAAUAGAGCAUAAGGCAGUAGAGGCCAAGCGUGUUUUCAGUUGACGUGGGAGAAACAUCCCUUACAGCAGGACACGAGGAUGGACAUGACCUCUGACUGUCCAGUUUGAGUCAGAUGAGUCUUCCAUCACUUUUGUCUUCAGAUGACAGCUUUUACAAAGUGCAUCUCCACGAUUUACUUUGCAACGCGUUAAUAUCAGGACCGCACACAAGUCUCAUUAGAUUUGCAUUUCCUCUGUAAAACUGGAUAAUACAAGUCAAACUAUGGCACAGCAGUUUUGUGGUGUGUGUGUGUGUGUGUGUGUGUGUGUGUGUUUGUGUUAACCCCUGUUCAAACACACUGUGUGGUAGUGUGGGUGUGGCGUUACACCUCGCGUGGCACUGGGCAGCUAAGAUAAGAGCUGAUCCUAUCCAUGCCUCCCUUCUGCAGCGCCCGCCCCCACACACACAAACACACACACACAUCUAGUGUGGUACCCAACAUGCCAUUGUAAUCUCAUUUUACAAUCCUGAUGCCCACAGCCGCAAAACACACAGAGAAGCCAACUAAAUCCAGAUGUCACGCGUACACUACGCUGGAGGGCUACGGUGAUACGGGAGGUCACAUGGUGGAGCCGGCGCCACGUCCACCACGGCUUCAAGUCUCCCUCUCUCUCUGUCCAUCUUCGCUUGCAAUGUCCAAUUAAUCAGAAAGAGUGCAUUUUCCCACAACUAUUGAUAAAAGAAAGAUGUGACGGGCUCAGAAAUAUUCAGGCCCAAAGCAGCGUCACUCAUUCACUAACACAUCAGGUCCAGAGUGAAAACACAUUCAGACGAUAAAAGCCUUUUUCUUCUUCUUCUAGACCGCACGACAAAACUACAGAACCACACAAGAGAGAAAACUAUCCUCCAGGAGGGGAGGAGAGGGAGCGCUUACCUUCCCUCCUCUGGGAGAUAGAGUUACCAUUGGGUACAAACUGCUCUCCUAAUUCACCAAGACUUUCAGUGAUGCACACACACGCACACACACACACACACACACACGCAAGCACGCACACACACACACACACACACACACGCACGCACACGCACCUUCUGGUCUCCAGUUCAUUACCACUUUCUGCCUACUGUUACCUAUCCUAUACUAAAAGGAGGAUGUUAUAUUCUUUUUCAGAUAAAAAUGGACCAAAUAAACCACAUGAGGUUUGAUACGAAAUAUUGUGCAAUGAAUUACGGGUUAGUUUUUUUUUUUUUUUUUUUUUUUUAAAUCAAAACAAAAAAAAGUCUGUUGAGAAGUAUUUUAUUUUGUGUCACGUUUCUUCUCCAUCCAGAUCUAAAGACGGUGAAACCUGGUUCCAGUGGUCCAGGCCACGGUUAUUGGGCUCAUCUCAGGCGUGGUGAGGCUCUCACACACACACACACACACACACACACACACACCUUUGUGUUGUAUGCACACACACCAUCAAACUCCAACAGAGACACAACUCCCCUUUCAUUCAAAAUUGUCUCAUUUUCUCACAUUUUCAAAACGCAGAAAAUUAAUAACAUUAAUAAUAAAAACAUGUUUUCUCAAGUAUGAAAUUUGUUUGACAGCCGCCCGGUCCGUGUGCGUGUGCGUGUGUGUGUGUGGGGGCGGGCUGAGUGCAAGUUUAGCCGAAAGUGUUUUCUACUUGAUAUUUAAAUGCUGCCCUGUGAAGAACUAACAGCCACAUUAAAACAAAUGAGCACCUGCAGUCGCGGCCACAGAUGUAUGUGGGUGUUUUUUCCUUUAAAAGUUUCCACAAAAAAAAUAAAGAAAUUUUCAUAGAUUAUUUUGACAAAGACCACUUUCAGACAGGAUGGCUGGUGUCACCCAGAUGCAGAU